UGCACUCCAGUCUAGGUGGCAGAAUGAGAUCCUGUAACAAAAAAAAAAAAUUACAAACAUAAAAUUUGUUAAUGUAUUUGUUUAGUUGUCCCAAUAUUAUUUAUUAAAUAAACCAUCUUUCUAAUACAUUUGAAAGGCUUGCUCUUUGACAUAUAUGAAGGUCAAAUCACGGCAAUCCUGGGUCACAGUGGAGCUGGCAAAUCUUCACUGCUAAAUAUUCUUAAUGGAUUGUCUGUUCCAACAGAAGGAUCAGUUACCAUCUAUAAUAAAAAUCUCUCUGAAAUGCAAGACUUGGAGGAAAUCAGAAAGAUAACUGGCGUCUGUCCUCAAUUCAAUGUUCAAUUUGACAUACUCACCGUGAAGGAAAACCUCAGCCUGUUUGCUAAAAUAAAAGGGAUUCAUCUA
rnacentral:lncRNA from 1 species